UACGUAGGGUGCAAGCGUUGUCCGGAAUUAUUGGGCGUAAAGAGCUCGUAGGCGGUCUGUUGCGUCGGCUGUGAAAACCCGCGGCUCAACUGCGGGCUUGCAGCCGAUACGGGCAGGCUAGAGUGUGGUAGGGGAGACUGGAAUUCCUGGUGUAGCGGUGAAAUGCGCAGAUAUCAGGAGGAACACCGGUGGCGAAGGCGGGUCUCUGGGCCAUUACUGACGCUGAGGAGCGAAAGCGUGGGGAGCGAACAGG
rnacentral:rRNA from 1 species